rnacentral:piRNA from 1 species
UGAUCCUGUGUGCCUGUUCUGUUACUAGU